AACAGAAGGAAGAACUUCAUUUUUGGCUUACAAGACCAAUGCUUUUAGUUAAGCUACUACUGC
rnacentral:tRNA from 1 species